ACACAUGCAAGUCGAACGGCAGCACGGGGCAACCUGGUGGCGAGUGGCGAACGGGUGAGUAAUAUAUCGGAACGUACCCAAGAGUGGGGGAUAACGUAGCGAAAGUUACGCUAAUACCGCAUACGAUCUAAGGAUGAAAGCAGGGGAUCUUCGGACCUUGUGCUCCUGGAGCGGCCGAUAUCUGAUUAGCUAGUUGGUGAGGUAAAGGCUCACCAAGGCGACGAUCAGUAGCUGGUCUGAGAGGACGACCAGCCACACUGGAACUGAGACACGGUCCAGACUCCUACGGGAGGCAGCAGUGGGGAAUUUUGGACAAUGGGCGCAAGCCUGAUCCAGCAAUGCCGCGUGAGUGAAGAAGGCCUUCGGGUUGUAAAGCUCUUUUGUCAGGGAAGAAACGGUGGGGGUUAAUAUCCUUCGCUAAUGACGGUACCUGAAGAAUAAGCACCGGCUAACUACGUGCCAGCAGCCGCGGUAAUACGUAGGGUGCAAGCGUUAAUCGGAAUUACUGGGCGUAAAGCGUGCGCAGGCGGUUUUGUAAGUCUGUCGUGAAAUCCCCGGGCUCAACCUGGGAAUUGCGAUGGAGACUGCAAGGCUUGAAUCUGGCAGAGGGGGGUAGAAUUCCACGUGUUAGCAGUGAAAUGCGUAUAGAUUGUUGGA
rnacentral:rRNA from 1 species